CCUACGGGCGGCAGCAGUGGGGAAUAUUGCGCAAUGGGCGCAAGCCUGACGCAGCAACGCCGCGUGAGGGAAGAAGGUCCUCGGAUCGUAAACCUCUGUCAGCAGGGAAGAAGGAACACUGGGCUACUCAGCAAUAAAUUGCCGGUCCCUGCAAAGGAAGCACCGGCUAACUACGUGCGAGCAGACGCGGUAAUACGGAGGGUGUGAGCGUUAAGCGGAAUUACUGGGCGUAAAGUGCGCGUAGGCGGUAUGACAAGUCAAGGGUGAAAUCCCCGCGCUCAACGUGGGAACUGCGUUUGAAACUGGCAGGCUGGAGGGUGUGAGAGGAUAGUGGAAUUCCAGGUGUAGGAGUGAAAUCCGUAGAUAUCUGGAGGAACAUCAGUGGCGAAGGCGACUAUCUGGCACAUAACUGACGCUGAGGAGCGAAAGCGUGGGGAGCAAACAGGAUUAGAUACCCGAGUAGUC
rnacentral:rRNA from 1 species